rnacentral:tRNA from 1 species
UCCUCGGUAGCUCAAUUGGCAGAGCGAGUGGCUGUUAACCACUAGGUUGGGGGUUCAAGUCCCUCCCGAGGAG